GACGAAGGGGGCUAGCGUUGUUCGGAAUUACUGGGCGUAAAGCGCGCGUAGGCGGCCAAUCAAGUCAGGGGUGAAAUGCCACGGCUCAACCGUGGAACUGCCUUUGAAACUGAUUGGCUGGAAGAUGAGAGGGGAUAGCGGAAUUUCUGGUGUAGAGGUGAAAUUCGUAGAUACCAGAAGGAACACCGGUGGCGAAGGCGGCUAUCUGGCUCAUUCUUGACGCUCUGGCGCGAAAGCGUGGGGAUCAAACAGG
rnacentral:rRNA from 1 species